GAUGAAGAACGCAGCGAAAUGCGAUAAGUAAUGUGAAUUGCAGAAUUCAGUGAAUCAUCGAAUCUUUGAACGCACAUUGCGCCCGCCAGUAUUCUGGCGGGCAUGCCUGUCUGAGCGUCAUUUCAACCCUCAUGCCCCUAGGGCGUGGUGUUGGGGAUCGGCCAAAGCCCGCGAGGGACGGCCGGCCCCUAAAUCUAGUGGCGGACCCGUCGUGGCCUCCUCUGCGAAGUAGUGAUAUUCCGCAUCGGAGAGCGAUGAGCCCCUGCCGUUAAACCCCCAACUUUCCAAGGUUGACCUCAGAUCAGGUAGGAAUACCCGCUGAACUUAAGCAUAUCAAAAGCGGAGGA
rnacentral:misc_RNA from 1 species